rnacentral:sRNA from 1 species
AGUGGUUCUCAAUUUUAGGAUGCCAAGACUAUUGGCCAAACCUCAUCUCUUUUCACUUUUUCAGGACAUUGUGUGGCUAAGCCAGAUUUAGUUUCUUUACUAGAGCAAGAGAAGGAGCCCUGGAUGGUGAAGCGAGAGCUGACAGGAAGCCUGUUCUCAGGUGAGUGCAGGAGAGCCUGGUGUGGAAAAUCUACUGCAAGAGAGCGGAGCUUUUACCAAAAAGGCUGCAUCCUCACUAAUAUACAGUAGGAAACUUUACCCAGGCUCUCUGGGUCUGGAAAGAAAAUUGAACUCUGAGAGUUCCAAAUAAUUCUUUCCUCCUCCUUUGCCCCCUUCUCUCCAGUAACUCCCAUUUCCCUGAAGUUCCUUCUUUUCUUGGCCACUGGGACGUGUAUCAUCCACUCACUUCCUUAAAUGAUCUCUUCCGGACCCUGAUGCACUUUUGAGCUGACUUCCAAAGGUUUUCUCUUCUAUGGUUAAAUGGCUUAUUGUUUUCAUCAUGCAUCCAUUCCUGUGAGAACCACAAAUUGAAAGUUAUGGGAUUGAGCCACUCUGCUGAGUAUUGGCAGGCGACUGGAAAAA